GCGUAAUAUUUUUUAUUUUCCUAUACAUGAUCCAAUAUUCAAAGAAAAGAAUUCGCAAACAAGCAGCCAACUAUCGAUAUUUAAAGAAAAAGCAGAAAACGUAAAGUGUGUAGAACACAUUGCCAACGUAGAAGGCCGGUUUGAUCACCAAGCCAUGAAACUGCAGGCACCAAGUUGACACCCACAUCUGUCAAGGGAGGUACUGCCACCGGCUGCAGAAAACAAAAACCAAAAGAGAGAAACUAGGUCUUCUAAAGUAAGUCUGAGGAAAUUCCUACCUCCAUCGUGAACUCACAUACGAUAUGAAUGAUGAAAAUUUUCAAUUCAUUAUGCUUUAAAAUAGUGCAUUAUUUUCCCC
rnacentral:misc_RNA from 1 species